ensembl:lncRNA
UUUUUUUUUUUUUUUUUUUUUUUAUGUACAACAUUUCCUCCAAAGUCCAUGAUUGUAAAACAGUGCCUUAAGUACCAGCCUCCUGAGUAUUUCAUAUUCAGCUUUACACAGCUCCCUGUCUUUGUCCUUUUACAAAAGGCUGCAGUCUAUUACAUUCAUCUGCUCAAUUUGAAAUGAAGGCCAUAUUAAAUACACUUCAUUGUACACUUCUAUAGAUAGAAAAUGCUUUGGGGGUUAUCUGAAUAUCAGUUGCAGCCAUCUACUGCUAUUUGGUAUAAGUAAAUGCCUAUUUAACCAGUCUUUGAAAUGGAAUGUGAUUGACAGACUCUUUCCAUACUCCCAUUUCCAUUAUUUCACUUAUUCAUUCUGUUUUCCUAAAAAGUCAUAAAAUCCAGAUUCCUGCUUCCAAGAUAUACAUCCCAGGACUGCUCUUCUCUCUCAGCGUCUCCAAUACCUUCCUGGUUUCCUCUGCUAACAUGCUCUUACCUCCCAAUAACCUGACUUCCUUUACAACUGCUCUGCAUUACAGGCAUUCAUUUACUUCCAGUUAGGCUGUUUUUCUUCAUCCUGUGAUUGUCGCCUUGGUGUCCAGAUAAACCAUCCCAGCUCUACAUCCCAAAUGUUUAUACCAAGCGUAAAUACUCUCAGAUAAAACGGCAGAAACACAUCCCUGCUCUCCCAGGCUGGCAGGAAGGGGUCUCAUCUAUUCCUUCCUACAAGCACCGAAUACCCAGAACUGUGUGCUUAAUGCCUCUCCCUCCCUAAUGCUGGUAAAAUGCUUUUUAUCUCUUUUUCCACCCUUCUAAGAGCCAAAUAGUGUUUGAGGAAACCCUUAUCUUUCUCUUUUCCCUAUAUGUAUGUUGUCAUGGCUAGAGCUUGUUGAAGUACUACUUCUGUAAAACCUUUUUUUUCUGACACAGUACUCCCAUCUGUUAUUUUUGAUGUGAGUAGUGAGAGACAGACAUAAGAAGAGGGCUUCACAAUGCUUCUUCUUCAUUAGAAGGAUGUUUGUUUAUCUAAGGGCUAGGAUAUUUGAUCCUUGGUAAAUUGCUGUGCUUUCUACUGAGAAUGAAAUUUUCAGACAAGAAUCACAUUCACAAAAACUCUCUCAGUCCGGUAACAGAAUAAUGAAAAAUGAGGAAUAUCUUUUUAGUAUGAAAUUUGAAGAUGUGCUUUUACUAUCCAGCUGACACAUAUGUAAGCAACAGCAAGGACAAAAGCAGAGAGGGAUAUUUGUGAAAAUAUUACAAGCAGCAACUCUGACACCUUCCAGAGUCACUAUGCCAUGAUUGCCAAAAUUUUUUGUUCUUGACUCCUACCAACUGGCAUUUUGACCCACCUACACCUGUGCCCAGGUGCACAAGAGCCACAUGUACCCGUGGUCACUGACUUAAGUAAUUUUUCUACAUGGUUUUCAGACAUAUCUGCUUUUCAGAUGCAUUAAUGUGAGGCAACUGGGAGAAAGUAGUAGUUGUUCUUGGUAUAUCAAAUUUUCUAAAUAAUUUUCAAAUAGUUUUCUCAAUGUAUGCAUAUAACAACCACACUUUCCUGGACUCAUUUUUCAUGGCUGUAUGCUCAAAACCUACCACUUCAAAAUGCAAACUGCUCAGUGGCAUAAAUCUCAAGUUACACAGAAUACAGUAGGGAAUCAAGCAGAGUGGGACAGCAGAAAAUCAAAAUCAGAUUUAUUCUUUUCACCACAAAAUGCUCACUUUCAAAAAGCCAACCAACUGACCAAAACCAAAGCAAAAAACCAAAAAAACCAACAAAACACCACAACUAAAACAAACAAACACACCCGCCCCCCCCAAAUGCUACAGAAACUGAAGAAAACAAAUCAAGCCAAGGUGAUAUUAAACAAUUUCUGAAAAAAGUAAUAUAGUAUAAAUGUAUAUAUAAAUGAUAUAAAAAGUAAUAUGAUAUAAAAUUGUUUAAAAAUCACUUCAUUAAUACAUACUAACAAUAUUGAUCUGGGAAGAAAUUGCUGGAAAAUAUAAAAAAUUGGAAUAGUGUCAUGGGGAUGAUUUCUUCUACUUUUUGCUAACAUGCCUCGUAACUCAAAUGAUGUUAACCUUCUUCUAGUGUGAUGAUUUCUGUUCAGUUUAUUUGAUGAUGGUGUAUAAAACCCAUGGUGAUCCGAUUCAGUGAAAGGACUGAUUCCUAGAAGACAAUAAAUAAUGGCAUCAGGCCCAGUAGAUGGAAUAUUUUUGCACACUUUGUGCAAAAGCAUACACCUGAUAUAUUUAAAUUGGUACACUUUUAGUUGUAAUUUCUCUGUUCAGGGUUUUUUCCCUCCAGAUGAAGAGUAAAGUGUGCCUGUUCAGUGAUUCCUUAUGAGGGCAAUGUAAUAUUUUAAAAUGGCUCUUUCCAUCUUGAUGUUGUGGGCACACAUUAAUAUGUCUUUUUCCCCCUCCUGUUUAGCUUUAGCAAAUAUGGAUUUUGUUUUUAUUCAACUUCUGAAUCAUUAUUAUUUAUUCAAUUAUUUUUCUCUGUUUGCUUUUAACAAAGCAAAUAGAUAUCAAACAGCAACUACUCAAAAGUAAAUUUGCAUAAGAUACAAAAAUAACUAAAAUUCCAACUUCAAUCUUCUUCUGUAAUCAGUCUUGCUACAUUUAAAGUAAGAUGACUACUGCCAGUGUAAUACUUCUAACUGAAGACAAUUCUUUAUGUGAAUAUUUGUUUAUCUGAAAAUUGAAAAAUUAGUCUUGCUUUUACUUACAGUCAUUUUAAUGUCUCCAGUGUUUUUCCUGUCUCUGAUUUCCAUUGUUAUCUGUGAAAUCUGAAUCAUCCGCAUACGGAUCCUUUGAUCCAUCCUUUUCAGAUACUGCCUGUUUCCAUUGUGGUUGUGAAAGACAGCUUCAGUUUAAGAAAAGGUUGACAUUAUUACAAGUCACAUAAUUUCAGUCCCAAAUUCAGUGUUAUGAGAAUCAUUUUGACUUGUUCAGUUCAUUUCAGAAUAGAAUAACAAGACAGGAGUCCUAGUGCUCAGCAAAAUGAAACCAAAAAUAAUCACCAAACUCCCCUGAACGAGAACAGCCAAGAAUUGCUCUCACAAAAGCCUUUUCCUGUGGAACAAAAUAGAAAACAAAAGAAAACACAAGGUCAUCCAAAACUAUUUUUUCAAAUUUUCAAUAAUCAUAUUCUCAGACUUUCCUGGUUCAUUCUGUGUAGUUUCAACUCUCAGUGACUGAAUGAAUGAAAAUGAAGAAAAAAGCUGAUUUUAAAUGGAGAGAGCUGCUGUACGAACCAUGAAUCAGUUCACAAACCCAUGGAAAUUCUGUAGAUCAUUUGUGUAAUAUAGAAAUGUUUAAUAAAGUGCUUUGUAAAAAA